rnacentral:tRNA from 1 species
GGCGCUUUGGCUGAGUGGUUAUAGCGAUAGACUAGAAAUCUAUUCCAUUCGUGGGCGCAGGUUCGAAUCCUGCAGGCGUCG